GAUGAACGCUGGCGGCGUGCUUAACACAUGCAAGUCGAACGGUAACAGGUUAAGCUGACGAGUGGCGAACGGGUGAGUAAUAUAUCGGAACGUGCCCAGUCGUGGGGGAUAACUGCUCGAAAGAGCAGCUAAUACCGCAUACGACCUGAGGGUGAAAGCGGGGAUCGCAAGACCUCGCGCGAUUGGAGCGGCCGAUAUCAGAUUAGCUAGUUGGCGGGGAAAAGCCCACCAAGGCAACGAUCUGUAGCUGGUCUGAGAGGACGACCAGCCACACUGGGACUGAGACACGGCCCAGACUCCUACGGGAGGCAGCAGUGGGGAAUUUUGGACAAUGGACGCAAGUCUGAUCCAGCCAUGCCGCGUGCGGGAAGAAGG
rnacentral:rRNA from 1 species